CCACAUCCAAGGAAGGCAGCAGGCGCGUAAAUUACCCAAUCCUGACACAGGGAGGUAGUAACAAUAAAUAACAAUGCCGGGCUUUUCUAAGUCUGGCUUUUGGAAUGAGAACAAUUUAAAUCCAUUAUCGAGGAUCAAUUGGAGGGCAAGUCUGGUGCCAGCAGCCGCGGUAAUUCCAGCUCCAAUAGCGUAUAUUAAAGUUGUUGCAGUUAAAAAGCUCGUAGUUGAAUUUCUGAUAGAAGGGAGCGGUUCCGCAUUCUUGCGGAUACUGGCUCGUCUUCCGUCAUCCUUGGGCUUAGUCUCGCUGAUAUUAACUUAUCGGCGUGUACGAUGCCCAUCGUUUACUGUGAGCAAAUUAGAGUGUUCAAAGCAGGCAUUUUGCCAUUGAAUAUAUUAGCAUGGAAUAAUAAGAUAGGAUUUCACGAUUUUAUUUUGUUGGUUUGCGUUGUGAAAUAAUGAUUAAGAGGGACAGUUGUGGGUAUUCGUAUUCAGAUGUCAGAGGUGAAAUUCUUAGAUUAUCGGAAGACGAACGACUGCGAAAGCAUUUACCAAGGAUGUUUUCAUUAAUCAAGAACGGAAGUAUGGGGAUCGAAGAUGAUUAGAUACCAUCGUAGUCUAUACCAUAAACUAUGCCGACUCAG
rnacentral:rRNA from 1 species